rnacentral:rRNA from 1 species
CGAAAUUCCUUGUCGGGUAAGUUCCGACCCGCACGAAAGGCGUAACGAUCUGGGCACUGUCUCAACGAGAGACUCGGUGAAAUUAUAGUACCUGUGAAGAUGCAGGUUACCCGCGACAGGACGGAAAGACCCCGUGGAGCUUUACUGCAACCUGAUAUUGAAUUCUGAUGCAAUCUGUACAGGAUAGGUAGGAGCCUUUGAAUCCGGAGCGCCAGCUUCGGACGAGGCGUUGGUGGGAUACUACCCUGAUUGUAUUGGACUUCUAACCCAUGCCCCUUAUCGGGGCAGGAGACAGUGUCAGGCGGGCAGUUUGACUGGGGCGGUCGCCUCCUAAAGAGUAACGGAGGCGCCCAAAGGUUCCCUCAGAAUGGUUGGAAAUCAUUCGUAGAGUGUAAAGGCAGAAGGGAGCUUGACUGCGAGACCUACAAGUCGAGCAGGGACGAAAGUCGGGCUUAGUGAUCCGGUGGUUCCGCAUGGAAGGGCCAUCGCUCAACGGAUAAAAGCUACCCCGGGGAUAACAGGCUUAUCUUCCCCAAGAGUCCACAUCGACGGGAAGGUUUGGCACCUCGAUGUCGGCUCAUCGCAUCCUGGGGCUGUAGUCGGUCCCAAGGGUUGGGCUGUUCGCCCAUUAAAGCGGUACGCGAGCUGGGUUCAGAACGUCGUGAGACAGUUCGGUCCCUAUCCGUCGCGGGCGCAGGAAAUUUGAGAAGAGCUGUCCUUAGUACGAGAGGACCGGGAUGGACACACCGCUGGUGUACCAGUUGUCUUGCCAAAGGCAUAGCUGGGUAGCUACGUGUGGCCGGGAUAAAUGCUGAAAGCAUCUAAGCAUGAAGCCCCCUUCAAGAUGAGAUUUCCCAUUACGCAAGUAAGUAAGAUCCCUCAGAGAAGAUGAGGUUGAUAGGUCCGGGGUGUAAGCACGGCGACGUGCGUAGCUGACGGAUACUAAUUGAUCGAGGAGAUCGGAAG